rnacentral:tRNA from 1 species
GUCACUUUGCCGGAGUGGUUAACGGGAUCGCCUGCUAUUCAUAGCUGCCAGUGGUUGGGCUUUGCCCGCGAGUGUUCGAAUCGCUCAGGUGACG